UACGUAGGGGGCUAGCGUUGUCCGGAAUCAUUGGGCGUAAAGAGCGUGUAGGCGGCCCGGUAAGUCCGCUGUGAAAGUCGGGGGCUCAACCCUCGAAUGCCGGUGGAUACUGUCGGGCUAGAGUGCGGAAGAGGCGAGUGGAAUUCCUGGUGUAGCGGUGAAAUGCUUAGAUAUGACAUAGAACACCCAUUGCGAAGGCAGCUCACUACGGGAAUAUUGACACUGAGGCACGAAAGCGUGGGGAUCAAACAGG
rnacentral:rRNA from 1 species